rnacentral:rRNA from 1 species
GAUGAACGCUGGCGGCGUGCCUAAAACAUGCAAGUCGAGCGGUAAGGCCCCUUCGGGGGUACACGAGCGGCGGACGGGUGAGUAACACGUGGGAAUCUACCCCAAACUGAGGGAUAAGCACCGGAAACGGUGUCUAAUACCGCAUAUGGCCUUCGGAUUAAAGCUUCGGCGGUUUGGGAAGAGCCCGCGUAAGAUUAGCUAGUUGGUGAGGUAAAGGCUUACCAAGGCGACGAUCUUUAGCUGGUUUGAGAGGAUGAUCAGCCACACUGGAACUGAGACACGGUCCAGACUCCUACGGGAGGCAGCAGUUAGGAAUUUUCCACAAUGGGCGAAAGCCUGAUGGAGCAACGCCGCGUGCAGGAUGAAGGUUUUCGGAUUGUAAACUGCUUUUAUGUGCGAAGAAUGUGACGGUAACACAUGAAUAAGGAUCGGCUAACUCCGUGCCAGCAGCCGCCGUAA